rnacentral:rRNA from 1 species
AUUAAACGCUGGCGGCAUGCCUUACACAUGCAAGUCGAACGGCAGCACGGGGGCAACCCUGGUGGCGAGUGGCGAACGGGUGAGUAAAGCAUCGGAACGUGCCCUGGAGUGGGGGAUAACGUAGCGAAAGUUACGCUAAUACCGCAUAUUCUGUGAGCAGGAAAGCAGGGGAUCGCAAGACCUUGCGCUCUGGGAGCGGCCGAUGUCGGAUUAGCUAGUUGGUGGGGUAAAGGCCUACCAAGGCGACGAUCCGUAGCGGGUCUGAGAGGAUGAUCCGCCACACUGGGACUGAGACACGGCCCAGACUCCUACGGGAGGCAGCAGUGGGGAAUUUUGGACAAUGGGCGAAAGCCUGAUCCAGCCAUGCCGCGUGAGUGAAGAAGG